rnacentral:tRNA from 1 species
GUCGAUAUAAUACAACGGCGGACUGUUAAUCCGUAUGUCGCUGGUUCGAGUCCAGC